rnacentral:rRNA from 1 species
AUUGAACGCUGGCGGCAGGCCUAACACAUGCAAGUCGAACGGUAACAGGGAUCAGCUUGCUGAUUCGCUGACGAGUGGCGGACGGGUGAGUAAUGUCUGGGAAACUGCCUGAUGGAGGGGGAUAACUACUGGAAACGGUAGCUAAUACCGCAUAACGUCGCAAGACCAAAGAGGGGGACCUUCGGGCCUCUUGACAUCGGAUGUGCCCAGAUGGGAUUAGCUAGUAGGUGGGGUAACGGCUCACCUAGGCGACGAUCCCUAGCUGGUCUGAGAGGAUGACCAGCCACACUGGAACUGAGACACGGUCCAGACUCCUACGGGAGGCAGCAGUGGGGAAUAUUGCACAAUGGGCGCAAGCCUGAUGCAGCCAUGCCGCGUGUAUGAAGAAGGCCUUCGGGUUGUAAAGUACUUUCAGCGGGGAGGAAGGGAGUAAAGUUAAUACCUUUGCUCAUUGACGUUACCCGCAGAAGAAGCACCGGCUAACUCCGUG